UGUGUGUGUGUGUGUGUGUGUGCGCGCAUAUAUAUAUAUAUAUAUAUAUAUGUGCGCACACACACACACACACACACA